GAGCCAAGUAUAUGAUGCAUGGCAUUUUUGGUCGAAAGGUGACGCCAGCUAGCCAUUGAGAUGAUAUGAUUAUGUUAAGAUUUGCAUUCAUAUGGAUAUUGGACUCCUGCUGUUCACCUAGGCCGGCUACGGGACUCCUGGAGAGUUCCCAUUGGUUGGGGAAGUACAGUAGGAGGGAGUUCCGGGGGAGGAGCUCUCUCUGCGGGUCCGGGAGGAGGCCGCGUGGGUGGAAAAAAUCUUCCCGGGCGGUACCGGACAUUGGCGGCAGUUUCAAAAAAUAAACUUUGUUCCUGCUUGAGUGGCUCGUGAUUUUGUGCCCAGCCAGACUGCGGCAACUGGCGGCCUGCACGGGGAACGCCUGAAGCUUGGAGAGAGGGGGAGAUGUUGAGAGCCACAGCCAAAGGGGCCCCAGCAAACUUCCAGCUGCCAGCUGAUGAUUGGCUCACAGCGGCCCCAGCAACUUCUAGCUGCCAACUGAUUGGCUCCUCUGCGGUGAUGCUCAUUGGGCUGUUUCCCUGCCCUUUCAGACCACGGAGCUGCUCAUUGGGGAACUUUUUGGCUCCGCCCACACGACCCAGCCAAUCAGCCUCAAGAGCAGGAGGAGGGGGGAGGGGGAGAGGCUUGUGGGAAGCCGGUGGUGGCAGUUGGGCUCUGAAGGUUUUCCUGAGGAGCUUUUUUGUUUGGUGUGUGGUUCUAAAAAUAAAGUUUGUUUCUUUUGACAAGUGGCUCCUGAACCGUGCCCAGCCAGACUGCGGCAUUACUUAAACAGAGAGGGGGAGGGAUGUGGCUCAGAGGUUCAGUCCCCCUGACUUCAAUUCCCGGUCCAAAAAAAAGCAUAAUUGCAACCAUCUUCCUUUUCUCCACCCCCACUUUAUGAAUACUGUUCUUAUUCCCAAGAAAUAGAAAGUAAUACCAAAUAAAGCCUAGUGUCCUGGAGAUGCCGGUUCUUUCAUUGAGGGAUAGGAGACAAUUUACCAGACCCUGAGAUGAGGAUGUACUGGUUUUCCUGUUCUCUCCUAGAUAAAGGACAUGCUGGUUUCCCUAUUCCCCCUUUGAGAGAUAAGAAAAGUAUCUCUUUGUUCCCAAGAAACAAACUUGCCUCCCACAAGAUUAGGGGUUGCUUACUAUGUCAGUCAAGAUUAAACCCGCCGUAGCACCCAGCCAUGAUUCCAGCAUAUAAGAGGUAACAUUCAAGGGGGCUUUGCUCUCCUUUUUUUUUUUUUUUUUUUUUUAAUUGCAGAAUAGCCUGUCAGGCUCCUGAUAAUAAACCCGAUUUUUAUCCCGGAUGUGUGAGCGAUUAAUCCUAUGACACUUUUCUUUGAAGUUCAAAGCCAUCCUUUAAUAAUUUUCCUUGAUUUUAACCUGUUCCAGUCUGGGCUUGGAUGUGGUGACCGUUAAUCCAACUUGUAGAUUCUUGAGACUUUCCUGGUGAGAGUAAUGUGUAUGAUAAAGUAGGGUUGUGACAUUACCUUGGGCCUGAUCAAAUCGUGAUACAUGGGUCACAAGGUGAGGGGCUCAACCAAUAGCAACAAAGAAAUCUUUCACAUGAGUUUUAGACUGUUAAUAGGAGCUUUUUAAUUCAAUACUAACUGGCUAGAGCAGUUUCUGUUAAUCCUUCAGUGACAACUAAGGCUAAAACUGUGGCAACUGAGAGGUUAAAUUUGGCAGUGCCAAAGCAUUACAAUAAAUAGUCCAAUAUAGCACUCCAUGGAUCCGAAGCAGUGGGUGAUUCCUCAAGAUUUUGUUGUGUAUAGAUUAGUCACCUGAAAUUCUUCAGGGGGUCACUUUUGGAGACUAGUAAGAAGCUUCCUGUUUUAGUUUCCUUUACCAGUUGAUCACAUAUGGCUUCCCUUGGAAGCAUUAGGGACAUUUUCCUUUUUCAUUUACCAAUUUAUAAAACUACACAUGAUACUAAAAUAUAUCACGUGAUACUUAAAUAUAUAUUAUUUUAUGGAAUUAAAAAGUCAGAAGUACUUGAA